rnacentral:rRNA from 1 species
UUGUAAUUUGUAGAAGGUGCUUCGGGUGCGGCGACGGUUCAAGUCCUUUGGAACUGGGCGUCUUAGAGGGUGAGAACCCCGUACGUGACCGUCUGCCAACCCCGUGUGAAGCCCUUUCGACGAGUCGAGUUGUUUGGGAAUGCAGCUCUAAAUGGGUGGUAAAUUUCAUCUAAAGCUAAAUACCUGCCAGAGACCGAUAGCGCACAAGUAGAGUGAUCGAAAGAUGAAAAGCACUUUGAAAAGAGAGUCAAACAGUACGUGAAAUUGUUGAAAGGGAAGCGCUUGCAACCAGACUCGCUCGCGGGUGCUCAGCCGUCCCUUGGGGCGGUGCACUCUCCCGCGAUCGGGCCAGCUCUUCUGACGGCCGGACAAAGGCCUUGGGAACGUAAGUGUUAUAGCCCGGGGUGUAAUGCGGCCCGUCACCGAGGC